UCCUAGUUAACCUAGGCAGUCUCAUUAGAGUUCCCAUCUUUCAUGUUGGCAACUAAUGAUAAGGGUUGCGCUCGUUGCGGGACUUAACCCAACACCUCACGGCACGAGCUGACGACAGCCAUGCAGCACCUGUGCACAGACCCCGAAAGGCGAUAACAUCUCUGCUAUCUUCCUGUGCAUGUCAAGCCUGGGUAAGGUUCUUCGCGUUGCAUCGAAUUAAACCACAUGCUCCACUGCUUGUGCGGGUCCCCGUCAAUUCUUUUGAGUUUCAGCCUUGCGACUGUACUCCCCAGGCGGUAUACUUAUCGCGUUAGCUUCGGCACAAUCAGGGUUGAGUCCGAUUACACCAAGUAUACAUCGUUUACAGUAAGGACUAC
rnacentral:misc_RNA from 1 species